rnacentral:rRNA from 1 species
AUUGAACGCUGGCGGCAGGCCUAACACAUGCAAGUCGAACGGUAGCAGGAAGAAGCUUGCUUCUUUGCUGACGAGUGGCGGACGGGUGAGUAAUGUCUGGGAAACUGCCUGAUGGAGGGGGAUAACUACUGGAAACGGUAGCUAAUACCGCAUAACGUCGCAAGACCAAAGAGGGGGACCUUCGGGCCUCUUGCCAUCGGAUGUGCCCAGAUGGGAUUAGCUAGUAGGUGGGGUAACGGCUCACCUAGGCGACGAGCCCUAGCUGGUCUGAGAGGAUGACCAGCCACACUGGAACUGAGACACGGUCCAGACUCCUACGGGAGGCAGCAGUGGGGAAUAUUGCACAAUGGGCGCAAGCCUGAUGCAGCCAUGCCGCGUGUAUGAAGAAGGCCUUCGGGUUGUAAAGUACUUUCAGCGGGGAGGAAGGGAGUAAAGUUAAUACCUUUGCUCAUUGACGUUACCCGCAGAAGAAGCACCGGCUAACUCCGUG